rnacentral:rRNA from 1 species
ACGGUUCCGUUUASGCGGUUCCGUUAGCGAGGGCACGCCACCUUCGGCCUGAAUGUUCCGGUGCCGUAGUCGUGCACUUCUCCCCUAGUAGAACGUCGCGACCCGUUGUGUGUCGGUCUACGGCCCGAGAGGGCGCCUGUCGCGUCGCUUCGCGCGCACGCGGCAGACCCUCGGUCGCCCGGYCGGCUGCACGACGGUACUCGCACGGUAUCGGGCCGCAACCAAUCCAUUUUCGAAUGCGUUUGCGUCUGUCCCGCCGCAAGCUCGGUCAGUUCUUACCCGGAGGUACGGAGAUUAAGCCGUCCCCGGGCCUGGCCAGCUGUUCGCAGGCGGAUGUAAUCAGACUGGCCAAAUUUUAAAAUACCGGUCGGCGACGCUAUUGCUUUGGGUACUCUCAGGACCCGUCUUGAAACACGGACCAAGGAGUCUAACAUGUGCGCGAGUCAUUGGGACUUGAUUAAACCUAAAGGCGAAAUGAAAGUGAAAAUCGACCUUCGCGUCGAUCGAGGGAGGAUGGGCCGCGUUGCUAAUGCGGCCUCGCACUCCCGGGGCGUCUCGUUCUCAUUGCGAGAAGAGGCGCACCCAGAGCGUACACGUUGGGACCCGAAAGAUGGUGAACUAUGCCUGGUCAGGACGAAGUCAGGGGAAACCCUGAUGGAGGUCCGUAGCGAUUCUGACGUGCAAAUCGAUCGUCGGAACUGGGUAUAGGGGCGAAAGACUAAUCGAACCAUCUAGUAGCUGGUUCCCUCCGAAGUUUCCCUCAGGAUAGCUGGCACUCGGUCGUUCCUUAGUGAACAGACGCGAGUUUCAUCUGGUAAAGCGAAUGAUUAGAGGCCUUGGGGCCGAAACGACCUCAACCUAUUCUCAAACUUUAAAUGGGUGAGAUCUCUGGCUUGCUUGGAUCAUGAAGCCACGAGACUAUUUCGAAUCAGAGUGCCAAGUGGGCCAAUUUUGGUAAGCAGAACUGGCGCUGUGGGAUGAACCAAACGCAGAGUUAAGGCGCCUAAGUCGACGCUUAUGGGAUACCAUGAAAGGCGUUGGUUGCUUAAGACAGCAGGACGGUGGCCAUGGAAGUCGGAAUCCGCUAA